UGGCUCAGGACUAACGCUGGCGGUAUGCCUUAGACAUGCAAGUCGAACGAGUUUCCGGGCUUGCUCGGAAACUAGUGGCGAACGGCUGAGUAACGCGUAGGUGACCUACCCCGUAGUGUGGAAUAACUGCCCGAAAGGGUAGCUAAUACCGCAUGUUGAGCCGACAUCAAUGUCGUCUCCAAAGCAGAAAUGCGCUAUGGGCGGGGCCUGCGUUCGAUUAGCUAGUUGGUGGGGUAAUGGCUCACCAAGGCGACGAUCGAUAGGUGGUCUGAGAGGACGAUCACCCAGACUGGGACUGAGACACGGCCCAGACUCCUACGGGAGGCAGCAGUCGGGAAUUUUGCGCAAUGGGGGAAACCCUGACGCAGCAAUACCGCGUGUGGGAUGAAGGCCUUCGGGUCGUAAACCACUUUUUUCGGGGACGAUAAUGACGGUACCCGAAGAAUAAGCCACGGCUAACUACGUGCCAGCAGCCGCGGUAAUACGUAGGUGGCAAGCGUUGUCCGGAUUUACUGGGCGUAAAGCGCGCGCAGGCGGUGAAUGAAGUCGAAAGUGAAAGCCCCGGGCUCAACUCGGGAACUGCUUUCGAAACCAGUUCACUUGAAGGCGGAAGAGGGAAGUGGAAUUCCGAGUGUAGUGGUGGAAUGCGUAGAUAUUCGGAAGAACACCAGAGGCGAAGGCGACUUCCUGGUCCGAUCUUGACGCUGAGGCGCGAAAGCUAGGGGAGCAAACGG
rnacentral:rRNA from 1 species